ensembl:lncRNA
AGAUAACUGGGUAUAACUAAUAUAGCCGAUCAAGUAAUGAGAUAAAACAUUUCACGCGAUGCUUUGACUAUUUUGACUCUGUUGAUGACAUCUGCAUGUCCUCAGUUCAAUGGUGUACUUAAACCAUGAAAUACAUUUUACAAUAUCUGUACACAUAAUACAGCUCUUUCCAUGUGAACCUCAAGCCAUGAAGACGCAACAUAACUAUCAGUGUUUCCUAUCUGCCUUAUCAUCCGUCUUAUAUCUUCAUUUACUGAUUUGUCAAUCCACAGUUAAUCAAAGUCAUAUCCACAAUGCGCGUCGCCCAAGGAAGAUGCAUCUUGUAUAAUAGAACAGUAAAUAAUACUGUGGUGUGGCUGUCAUAAUCUGUAUUCAUUGUAGCUCAUGCGUUUGAGCAUCUUCCGCAAGGAUUCUGUUGGAAUGGAGCCCAAAGUGGACGGAGUUAGGAACGACUAUGGGUUCAAUCCACCGCCUUACAACGCAGGCUACGGUUCCGACAGGCCUUACCAAAUUGGCUAUGAGGCGCAGGUGGAGGCGGGGAAGUCCGGCAUCGCGGUGGUGUACCCCCCGGGGGGCUACGACAACACGGCGUAUCCCCAGGGCCAGGCACCGUACGGGGGCAUGCAGUCCCCCGACAGCCCCCCCGAGUACCGGGUGGAGGAGGAGGAGGGGGAGGAGGAGAACUGCUUCAGCGACGGGG